rnacentral:snoRNA from 1 species
AAGACUAUACUUUCAGGGAUCCAUGCUAUAGUUUCUCAUUUGAAAAUGUGUUUUAAAAGUGAUGCGUCUCUUUAACCGCGAUGAAGAGUGUUAAUGCUUUUUUUCUAAGCGUAAAUCUGGUGUAGAGAAAUGGUUUGUCUCAUGUACUCUACACAAAAAUAACCGUAAGCCAAAGAAUGCAAGUGAAAGGCAUACUGUGUG